rnacentral:rRNA from 1 species
GUUUGAUCCUGGCUCAGGACGAACGCUGGCGGCGUGCCUAAUACAUGCAAGUCGAGCGAACAGACGAGGAGCUUGCUCCUCUGACGUUAGCGGCGGACGGGUGAGUAACACGUGGAUAACCUACCUAUAAGACUGGGAUAACUUCGGGAAACCGGAGCUAAUACCGGAUAAUAUAUUGAACCGCAUGGUUCAAUAGUGAAAGACGGUUUUGCUGUCACUUAUAGAUGGAUCCGCGCCGCAUUAGCUAGUUGGUAAGGUAACGGCUUACCAAGGCAACGAUGCGUAGCCGACCUGAGAGGGUGAUCGGCCACACUGGAACUGAGACACGGUCCAGACUCCUACGGGAGGCAGCAGUAGGGAAUCUUCCGCAAUGGGCGAAAGCCUGACGGAGCAACGCCGCGUGAGUGAUGAAGGUCUUCGGAUCGUAAAACUCUGUUAUUAGGGAAGAACAAAUGUGUAAGUAACUAUGCACGUCUUGACGGUACCUAAUCAGAAAGCCACGGCUAACUACGUGCCAGCAGCCGCGGUAAUACGUAGGUGGCAAGCGUUAUCCGGAAUUAUUGGGCGUAAAGCGCGCGUAGGCGGUUUUUUAAGUCUGAUGUGAAAGCCCACGGCUCAACCGUGGAGGGUCAUUGGAAACUGGAAAACUUGAGUGCAGAAGAGGAAAGUGGAAUUCCAUGUGUAGCGGUGAAAUGCGCAGAGAUAUGGAGGAACACCAGUGGCGAAGGCGACUUUCUGGUCUGUAACUGACGCUGAUGUGCGAAAGCGUGGGGAUCAAACAGGAUUAGAUACCCUGGUAGUCCACGCCGUAAACGAUGAGUGCUAAGUG